UACGGAGGAUUCAAGCGUUAUCCGGAUUUAUUGGGUUUAAAGGGUGCGUAGGCGGACGGUCAAGUCAGCGGUAAAAAUGCGGUGCUCAACCCCGGCCUGCCGUUGAAACUGGCGGCCUCGAGUGGGCGAGAAGUAUGCGGAAUGCGCGGUGUAGCGGUGAAAUGCAUAGAUAUCGCGCAGAACUCCGAUUGCGAAGGCAGCAUGCCGGCUCCACACUGACGUUGAGGCUCGAAAGCGUGGGUAUCGAACAGG
rnacentral:rRNA from 1 species